rnacentral:sRNA from 1 species
GAUGCCAGGGUCAAAAGGUCCUUCACCCACAUGAGCUUGCUCAUAGGUGGGUGAAGGACCUUGGGGCCCGCCCCGAUAUGAGCAUAAAAGUGGGAUGUAUAUCCCACGAUAUGCGAAUAUUGGGCAGGAUUGUGAGAGUGCGCAGCACGGAACAAUCCGUAGGCAUC